CUCCAGACUCCUACGGGAGGCAGCAGUGGGGAAUCUUCCGCAAUGGGCGCAAGCCUGACGGAGCAAUGCCGCGUGAACGAAGAAGGUCUUCGGAUUGUAAAGUUCUGUCCUUAUCGAAGAGAGGGUAUAGAGUGAAAAAUGAUAUACUAGGACGGUAGAUGAGGAGGAAGCCCCGGCUAACUACGUGCCAGCAGCCGCGGUAAUACGUAUGGUGCAAGCGUUAUCCGGAUUUACUGGGUGUAAAGGGAGCGCAGGCGGCACGGCAAGCCUGAUGUGAAAGCCCGCGGCCCAACCGCGGGACUGCAUUGGGAACUACCGGGCUGGAGUGCCGGAGAGGUAGGCGGAAUUCCUAGUGUAGCGGUGAAAUGCGUAGAUAUUAGGAGGAACACCAGUGGCGAAGGCGGCCUACUGGACGGUGACUGACGCUGAGGCUCGAAAGCGUGGGGAGCAAACAGGAUUAGAUACCCGAGUA
rnacentral:rRNA from 1 species